AUCCACAGGGGACGUGGAUUCUGAAUCCAGAGGAGAGUAGUACAACUGUCAGAAAGUAAAGACACUAGCUACAUGCAUGUUCCUUACAAAGAUAGAAGAUAUAUAGCCUUCUCAGACAAAAAGCCAGCAGAAGAGAUAGUGCCAUUGUGUAAGUGAGAAACACAUGCAGCAAGAGAAACUCUGACUAAAAAAAGACACCAAGUAUACCUGCCCGCACCUCAGCACCCACUUCAGGCGUCACUGCUGUUUCUUUGGUGAGAUACGCUUAAGUGACCAGCUGCCCGAGAUUCCAAGAUUCCAACCAGCUCCCUGGAUCUGCUGGGCUGUGUCUCAAUCAUGCCACCUUCCAAGGACUUAAGCCUCAUCUCUUAUCCAGAACGGAAGCCAUCUUGCUCAGGAUUUCCUCAGCCACCAGCUCCAGCAUACAUCCCAACACCCAGAUGUCCACAGUCAUCAUUAAGGAUGCAGGAAAAAUAUCAGAAAACCAGAGUCCUAGGCCCAAAGAGCCAAACUUCAGGAGACAGCCAGCCAGGAUGCAAGGCGAACAAGCAUGCAGGGAAUGCCAUGUGCCAAAAGGAGCAGCAUUAUCAGUUCCACCUUCAAUAUCCAUUCCACUGCCAGCAAGAAACAAAAGGGAAACAGGCCAGUCAGGAGCUACAGCGAGCAAAGCUGGAAAGAAGGGCUGGGCCGGGGCUGGCUACCACCGGGCACCAACACUGAACAACAGACCUUCAGCUUUGCUUGUGCCAUAAAACUCCCUUCCUGGGCAGGGAUGCUGGGACUAGGAGAGCAGAUUUGACAAAGUGUGUUAAACAUAUUAGCUUGGGGUUAAAAUGACCUCCCACACUUGUUGGUUUAAAAUUAAGGGUUGAGGCAAAAACGGAGCUAUAUGACCAAACACACUUACUGUUUCCCUUUUAGGUUUCUUGCUGGCCAGGGAGGCAGGGUGCAACUUUGAUUUUUUAAAGGGACACUGUCAAAAUAAAAAUCACAUGUUUUACAA